rnacentral:rRNA from 1 species
AGAGUUUGAUCAUGGCUCAGAACGAACGCUGGCGGCGUGGAUAAGACAUGCAAGUCGAGCGCUGAUUUCAGGGUAGCAAUAUUCUGAAGUUGGAGCGGCGCAAGGGUGCGUAACACGUGGGUAAUCUGCCAUGAAGUCUGGAAUAACUUGCUGAAAGGCGAGCUAAUACCGGAUGUGAACAUCGGGCGGCAUCGUUUGAUGUUCAAAGCUGGGGACCGUAAGGCCUGGCGCUUCAUGAUGAGCCCGCGGCCUAUCAGCUAGUUGGUGAGGUAACGGCUCACCAAGGCUAAGACGGGUAGCUGGUCUGAGAGGACGACCAGCCACACUGGAACUGAGACACGGUCCAGACACCUACGGGUGGCAGCAGUCGAGAAUUUUUCACAAUGGGGGAAACCCUGAUGGAGCGACGCCGCGUGGGGGAUGAAUGGCUUCGGCCCGUAAACCCCUGUCAUUCGGGAUCAAUGCGUUUGGGUGAAUAUCCCAAACGUUGAUAGUACCGGAAGAGGAAGGACGGCUAACUCUGUGCCAGCAGCCGCGGUA